AUCUUGUCUUCCAGAAUCAAAGAGACCGCAACCUUCUAAAUCCAUACCGACCGCGCUUGUGACAUGCUUGUUGUAUGAAAUUGCGGGGUGAUAAGCUCCCUCCGUCCGGAAAUAAGUGACUUCGAUUUGUAUAACUACUCAUGGAUGUCGUUCAGUGGAUGAAAGUUAAUUUCGAUUAUUAUGUUUCACUUUUUAUGAUCUCACCUAACAUCAAAUGUCUAAUUUGAUUCCAUUGGGAGUCUAGUUACAAGAUAGGCCCUCCAUACUCCAAUCCAACAUCGAGGCCGUAUGCAUCUGCAGCUUGAGCACCGCUACCCCUGACUUGGGCCUUUGGGCUGCCCCUGAUUUGGGCCUUUGGACUGCCCCUGAUUUGGGCCUUUGGGCCCACCGGAUAGUGUUGCACACACAGCGCAUACGGUUCGGAUAAAUGUAUACCCUCGCCCAAAAGAGAGGGAGGAUAAACGUACGUCACCCUAGCUGGAACUCCGUCUAAAUUUAAAAAAAAAAAUCAGAACUCUGAAAGUUCAUUUCUAGUAGACUUCCAGUUAGGGAAACUUUAGAUUUUCAUAUUUUCAGAAGAAUGGAAAAAGGGAAAAAGAAAAGUCCAAACAAAAGCCAGAAACAUAGGCCGGAUUGAACUUAGCCCUGCUCGGGGAGAGAGGGAAACCAGGCCCACUCGGGAGUGAGGAAAGUACGUGCAAGGGCUAGCUCUAGCUUCUGCGAGAUCGGAAAAUCGACCGUAUAUAACUUGUAUUUCAGCAAAAACUUAUGAUGAUCACAUCGGAAGAGGCUGCAUUUUAAACCAGCUAGCAAACGUACCGGGAC
rnacentral:lncRNA from 1 species